rnacentral:rRNA from 1 species
CCUACGGGAGGCAGCAGUAAGGAAUAUUGCUCAAUGGCCGAAAGGCUGAAGCAGCAACGCCGCGUGGAGGAUGAAAUACUUUUGUAUGUAAACUCCUGUAAGAAGGGAAAAAUAUUCCGAUUUAUCGGAAUUGAUUGUACCUUCAGAGUAAGCACCGGCUAACUACGUGCCAGCAGCCGCGGUAAUACGUAGGGUGCUAGAGUUGUCCGGAUUUACUGGGUGUAAAGGGUGCUCAGGUGGGUUUGUAAGUCAGAGGUGAAAUCCCAAAGCUUAACUUUGGUGCUGCCUUUGAUACUGCAAGUCUAGAGUUUGAGAGAGGGUAAUGGAAUAUCUGGUGUAGCAGUGAAAUGCGUAGAUAUCAGAUAGAACACCAAUGGCGAAGGCAGUUACCUGGCUCAAUACUGACGCUAAAGCACGAAAGUGUGGGGAGCAAACAGGAUUAGAUACCCUGGUAGUCCACACCCUAAACGAUGAAUACUAGAUGUUGGUUUUUUAUAAAAUCAGUAUCCAAGCUAACGCAUUAAGUAUUCCACCUGGGAAGUACAAUCGCAAGGUUGAAACUCAAAGGAAUUGACGGA